GGGCCUGCGGAGGGAUCAUUACACAACAAAAUAUGAAGGCCUGGCUUCGCGGCCGGCUGAAAUAUUUUUUUCACCCAUGUCUUUUGCGCACUUGUUGUUUCCUGGGCGGGUUCGCCCGCCACCAGGACCAAACCAUAAACCUUUUUUUUAUGCAGUUGCAAUCAGCGUCAGUAAAAACAAUGUAAUUAUUACAACUUUCAACAACGGAUCUCUUGGUUCUGGCAUCGAUGAAGAACGCAGCGAAAUGCGAUACGUAGUGUGAAUUGCAGAAUUCAGUGAAUCAUCGAAUCUUUGAACGCACAUUGCGCCCUUUGGUAUUCCAAAGGGCAUGCCUGUUCGAGCGUCAUUUGUACCUUCAAGCUUUGCUUGGUGUUGGGCGUUUUUUGUCUCCCUCUUUCUGGGAGACUCGCCUUAAAACGAUUGGCAGCCGGCCUACUGGUUUCGGAGCGCAGCACAUAUUUUGCGCUUUGUAUCAGGAGAAAAGGACGGUAAUCCAUCAAGACUCUACAUUUUUAACUUUUGACCUCGGAUCAGGUAGGGAUACCCGCUGAACUUAAGCAUAUCAAAAG
rnacentral:rRNA from 1 species